GUACCGCUGAAGAGUCCCACAUAGGACGAAACUGCCAUCCAGUGC
rnacentral:hammerhead_ribozyme from 1 species